AUUGAACGCUGGCGGCAUGCCUAACACAUGCAAGUCGAACGGUAGCAGCACCUUCGGGUGGCUGACGAGUGGCGGACGGGUGAGUAAUGCAUAGGAAUCUGCCUAUUGGUUGGGGAUAACUUAGGGAAACUUAAGCUAAUACCGGAUAAGAACGUAAGUUGAAAGCUUGGGAUCGCAAGACCAGGCGCCGAUAGAUGAGCCUAUGUUGGAUUAGCUAGUUGGUAGGGUAGAGGCCUUCCAAGGCGACGAUCCAUAGCUGGUUUGAGAGAACGACCAGCCACACUGGGGCUGAGACACGGCCCAGACUCCUACGGGAGGCAGCAGUGGGGAAUAUUGGACAAUGGGGGGAAACCCUGAUCCAGCAAUGCCGCGUGUGUGAAGAAGGCCUGCGGGUUGUAAAGCACUUUCAGUGAAGAAGAAGGCUGAUGUAUGAAUAGUGCAUUAGAUUGACGUUAUUCACAGAAGAAGCACCGGCUAACUCUGUGCCAGCAGCCGCAGUAA
rnacentral:rRNA from 1 species